rnacentral:rRNA from 2 species
GAGAGGUGCUUCGGGGGCGGUGACGGUCCAAGUCCCUUGGAACCGGGCGUCGUAGAGGGUGAGAACCCCGUACAGGAUCCGUCGCCAAACCCGUGCGAAGCCCUUUCGACGAGUCGAGUUGUUUGGGAAUGCAGCUCUAAAUGGGUGGUAAAUUUCAUCUAAAGCUAAAUAUCUGCCGGAGACCGAUAGCGCACAAGUAGAGUGAUCGAAAGAUGAAAAGCACUUUGAAAAGAGAGUUAAACAGUACGUGAAAUUGUUGAAAGGGAAGCGCUUGGAACCAGACUCGCUCGCGGGUGCUCAGCCGUCCCCCGGGGCGGUGUACUCUCUCGCGAACGGGCCAGCAUCGGCUCUGGCGGCUGGACAAAGGCCCUGGGAACGUAGCUCUCCCCGGAGAGUGUUAUAGCCCGGGGUGUAAUGCAGCCCGCCGGGACCGAGGACCGCGCUCUUGCUAGGAUGCUGGCGUAAUGGUUUCCAGCGACCCGUCUUGAAACACGGACCAAGGAGUGGACCAACCGCGCGAGUGCUUGGGCGUCAAACCCCGGCGCGCAAUGAAAGUGAACGCAGGUGGGAGCCUUCCUCGCGGGGGGGCGCACCAUCGACCGAUCCUGAUAUACUUGGAUGGAUUUGAGUAAGAGCGUCGUUGGUCCGACCCGAAAGAUGGUGAGCUAUGCGUGAAUAGGGUGAAGCCAGAGGAAACUCUGGUGGAGGCUCGCAGCGGUUCUGACGUGCAAAUCGAUCGUCAAAUUUGCGUAUAGGGGCGAAAGACUAAUCGAACCGUCUAGUAGCUGGUUCCUGUCGAAGUUUCCCUCAGGAUAGCAGCAACGAAAAACAGUCUCAUGAGGUAGAGCAACGAUUAGAGGCCUUGGGGUAAAAUUUACCUUAACCUAUUCUCGAACUUCGAAUAUGUGAGAAGUCCUUGUUACUUGGUUGAACGCGGACAUUCGGAUGUGUCGUUGCUAGUGGCC